UCAACAGCCCCUCAACAGUCCCUCAACGGCAAACUUCGUCCGGAGGAACGUAUCCUAAAAAUUCAGAUACUCGUGUCCGGAAUGUCGGAUACACAUAUCAGUUAGUCAACUAACGUAUCCGAUGCGUAUCGGACCGUAUCCGAACAAGUAUCCGAUACGUGAUACGCCAAUUUAAAUUUUAUUUUGUUAAGAAUUGUUUCCAGUUUUUGAAAUUUGCCCCUCAUUCUAAAAUGUUUUCUUUGACUACCCAUUUUCCCAAAAUCGAAUCUUUGCCUCUCAAACACUGCGAAUCCGGGUGAAAUUUUGAAGAAAAAGGAACUUGGUUGUCCAGAAAACCAUGAAACAAAGCAUUUUGAGCAUAUACAAUAGGUUUUGAGCGGCCCUGAUCAUGCACAGACCUAUAGCGAGGGUUCCAUUGCGGUCAAUUGCAGAUUCUCUUUUAAAGUCACAACCAGAGUACCAUG